UACGGAGGGUGCGAGCGUUGUUCGGAAUCACUGGGCGUAAAGGGCGUGUAGGCGGUCCGCUAAGUCUGAUGUGAAAGCCCGGGGCUCACCCCCGGAAGGGCAUUGGAAACUGGCGGACUCGAGUCCCGGAGAGGAAGGUGGAAUUCCUGGUGUAGCGGUGAAAUGCGUAGAUAUCAGGAGGAAUACCGGUGGCGAAGGCGGCCUUCUGGACGGUGACUGACGCUGAGACGCGAAAGCGUGGGGAUCAAACAGG
rnacentral:rRNA from 1 species